rnacentral:rRNA from 1 species
UACGUAGGGUGCAAGCGUUAAUCGGAAUUACUGGGCGUAAAGCGUGCGCAGGCGGUUUUGUAAGUCUGACGUGAAAUCCCCGGGCUCAACCUGGGAAUUGCGUUGGAGACUGCAAGGCUGGAGUCUGGCAGAGGGGGGUAGAAUUCCACGUGUAGCAGUGAAAUGCGUAGAGAUGUGGAGGAACACCGAUGGCGGAGGCAGCCCCCUGGGUCAAGACUGACGCUCAUGCACGAAAGCGUGGGGAGCAAACAGG